GAUGAAGAACGCAGUGAAAUGCGAUAAGUAAUGUGAAUUGCAGAAUUCAGUGAAUCAUCGAAUCUUUGAACGCGCAUUGCGCCCGUCAGUAUUCUGGCGGGCAUGCCUGUUCGAGCGUCAUUACGCCCCUCAAGUCCCCUGUGGACUUGGUGUUGGGGAUCGGCGAGGCUGGUUUUCCAGCACAGCCGUCCCUUAAAUUAAUUGGCGGUCUCGCCGUGGCCCUCCUCUGCGCAGUAGUAAAACACUCGCAACAGGAGCCCGGCGCGGUCCACUGCCGUAAAACCCCCCAACUUUUUAUAGUUGACCUCGAAUCAGGUAGGACUACCCGCUGAACUUAAGCAUAUCAAUAAGCGGAGGA
rnacentral:misc_RNA from 1 species